AUGAACGCUGGCGGCGUGCCUAAUCCAUGCACGUCGAGCGAACAGACGAGGAGCUUGCUCCUCUGACGUUAGCGGCGGACGGGUGAGUAACACGUGGAUAACCUACCUAUAAGACUGGGAUAACUUCGGGAAACCGGAGCUAAUACCGGAUAAUAUAUUGAACCGCAUGGUUCAAUAGUGAAAGACGGUUUUGCUGUCACUUAUAGACGGAUCCGCGCCGCAUUAGCUAGUUGGUAAGGUAACGGCUUACCAAGGCAACGAUGCGUAGCCGACCUGAGAGGGUGAUCGGCCACACUGGAACUGAGACACGGUCCAGACUCCUACGGGAGGCAGCAGUAGGGAAUCUUCCGCAAUGGGCGAAAGCUUGACGGAGCAACGCCGCGUGAGUGAUGAAGGUCUUCGGAUCGUAAAACGCUGUUAUUAGGGAAGAACAAAUGUGUAGUAACUAUGCACGUCUUGACGGUACCUAAUCAGAAAGCCACGGCUAACUACGUG
rnacentral:rRNA from 1 species